AGUGAACGCUGGCGGUAGGCCUAACACAUGCAAGUCGAACGGCAGCACAGUAAGAGCUUGCUCUUACGGGUGGCGGGUGGCGGACGGGUGAGGAAUACAUCGGAAUCUACUUUUUCGUGGGGGAUAACGUAGGGAAACUUACGCUAAUACCGCAUACGACCUACGGGUGAAAGCAGGGGAUCUUCGGACCUUGCGCGAUUGAAUGAGCCGAUGUCGGAUUAGCUAGUUGGCGGGGUAAAGGCCCACCAAGGCGACGAUCCGUAGCUGGUCUGAGAGGAUGAGCAGCCACACUGGAACUGAGACACGGUCCAGACUCCUACGGGAGGCAGCAGUGGGGAAUAUUGGACAAUGGGCGCAAGCCUGAUCCAGCCAUACCGCGUGGGUGAAGAAGGCCUUCGGGUUGUAAAGCCCUUUUGUUGGGAAAGAAAAGCAGCAGGUUAAUACCCCGCUGUUCUGACGGUACCCAAAGAAUAAGCACCGGCUAACUUCGUG
rnacentral:rRNA from 1 species